rnacentral:pre_miRNA from 1 species
CAUAUACUCCCUCCGUUCGGAAUUACUCGUCCAAGAAAUGAAUGUAUCUAGAUGUAUUUUAGUUGUAGAUACAUCCAUUUUUAUGACAAGUAAUUCCGAACGGAGGGAGUACAUG